CCAAUCCCAUAAAUUAACACUUCUCUCGUCCAUUCUGUCUUUCCUCGAUCACCACAAGUCCCAGAAAUAGCUAAAUCCCAGAAAUUUCAUAACAUUUGACCUUACAAUUACCACCAAACCACCCCCAACAAGAAACCUCAUAGUUUAUAAUCAGGAACCCAAGAACCACCCCUUAGUCAUUAUCUUUUCCUACAUUAACAACAAUAAACAACAACCUUUCACCAUCAAAACUCUGUACCCGUAGUCCUAGGCAUGAACUCUCCUGUCAAUCUACAAAAUAUCAUGCAAUUUAAAAUAGGUCUAAACUAUUCAGUUAAGCAAACCUAGCC
rnacentral:lncRNA from 1 species